UACGUAGGGGGCAAGCGUUGUCCGGAUUUAUUGGGCGUAAAGAGCGUGUAGGCGGCUAGGUAGGUCCGUUGUGAAAACUCGAGGCUCAACCUCGAGACGCCGGUGGAAACCAUCUAGCUAGAGUCCGGAAGAGGAGAGUGGAAUUCCUGGUGUAGCGGUGAAAUGCGCAGAUAUCGUAAGGAAGACCAGUGGCGAAGGCGGGUCUCUGGACAGUUCCUGACGCUGAGGCACGAAGGCCAGGGGAGCAAACGGG
rnacentral:rRNA from 1 species